rnacentral:rRNA from 1 species
GACAGAGGUCCCGAGCGUUAGGCGGAAUCACUGGGCUUAAAGCGUGUGUAGGCGGAUUUGUAAGUACCUUGUGAAAUCCCACGGCUCAACCGUGGAACUGCUGGGCAUACUGGACAUCUUGAGGCACUCAAGGGCGAGCGGAACAAGUGGUGGAGCGGUGAAAUGCGUAGAUAUCACUUGGAACGCCAAUGGUGAAGACAGCUCGCUGGGGGUGUCCUGACGCUGAGGCGCGAAAGCCAGGGGAGCGAACGGG